ACCAGGUAAUAACAUGGUUAUAUACAGGGAGUACCAGGUAAUAACAUGGUUAUAUACAGGGAGUACCAGGUAAUAACAUGGUUAUAUACAGGGAGUACCAGGUAAUAACAUGGUUAUAUACAGGGAGUAUCAGGUAAUAACAUGGUUAUAUACAGGGAGUAUCAGGUAAUAACAUGGUUAUAUACAGGGAGUACCAGGUAAUAACAUGGUUAUAUACAGGGAGUACCAGGUAAUAACAUGGUUAUAUACAGGGAGUACCAGGUAAUAACAUGGUUAUAUACAGGGAGUAUCAGGUAAUAACACGGUUAUAUACAGGGAGUACCCAGUAAUAACAUGGCUAUAUACAGGGAGUACCAGGUAAUAACAUGGUUAUAUACAGGGAGUAUCAGGUAAUAACACGGUUAUAUACAGGGAGUACCCAGUAAUAACAUGGCUAUAUACAGGGAGUACCAGGUAAUAACAUGGCUAUAUACAGGGAGUACCAGGUAAUAACAUGGCUAUAUACAGGGAGUACCAGGUAAUAACAUGGCUAUAUACAGGGAGUACCAGGUAAUAACAUGGUUAUAUACAGGGAGUACCAGGUAAUAACAUGGUUAUAUACAGGGAGUACCAGGUAAUAACAUGGUUAUAUACAGGGAGUACCAGGUAAUAACAUGGCUAUAUACAGGGAGUACCAGGUAAUAACAUGGUUAUAUACAGGGAGUACCAGGUAAUAACAUGGUUAUAUACAGGGAGUACCAGGUAAUAACAUGGUUAUAUACAGGGAGUACCAGGUAAUAACAUGGCUAUAUACAGGGAGUACCAGGUAA